rnacentral:rRNA from 1 species
AUUGAACGCUGGCGGCAGGCCUAACACAUGCAAGUCGAACGAGUGGCGGACGGGUGAGUAAUGUCUGGGAACAUGCCUGAUGGAGGGGGAUAACUACUGGAAACGGUAACUAAUACCGCAUACCAUCAGAUGUGCCCAGAUGGGAGUAGCUUGUUGGUGGGGUAACGGCUGACCAAGCCAACGAUCCCUAGCUGGUCUGAGAGGAUGACCCGCCAAACGGGAACUGAGACACGGUCCAGACUCCGACGGGAGGCAGCAGUGGGGAAUAUUGCACAAUGGGCGAAAGCCUGAUGCAGCCAUGCCGCGUGUAUGAAGAAGGCCUUCGGGUUGUAAAGUACUUUCAGCGGGGAGACGUUACCCGCAGAAGAAGCACCGGCUAACUCCGUGCCAGCAGCCGCGGUAAUA